rnacentral:antisense_RNA from 1 species
GUUGUAACAUAAUUACAGCGAGCGAGCCGAUUACAGUUCAUGUUGUACCAUGAAUUGUUUAACUACCCUCUAGGAUUACCAGUCCUAUGGUAGUCGGUUC